UAGCCCACGCCGUAAACGAUGAUCACUCGCUGUAGGCGAUACACAGUCUGUGGCUAAGCGAAAGUUUUAAGUGAUCCACCUGGGGAGUACGAUCGCAAGAUUGAAACUCAAAGGAAUUGACGGGGGCCCGCACAAGCGGAGGAACAUGUGGUUUAAUUCGAUGAUACGCGAGGAACCUUACCUGGACUUAAAUGUAGAUUGCAUAGCUUAGAGAUAGGCUUUUCUUCGGACUAUUUACAAGGUGCUGCAUGGUUGUCGUCAGCUCGUGCCGUGAGGUGUCGGGUUAAGUCCCAUAACGAGCGCAGCCCCUAUCCUUAGUUGCCAGCGGGUCAUGCCGGGGACUCUGAGGAGACUGCCACCGUAAGGUGUGAGGAAGGUGGGGAUGACGUCAAAUCAGCACGGCCCUUAUGUCCAGGGCUACACACGUGUUACAAUGGUGAGUACAGAGGGUCGCAAACCCGCGAGGGGGAGCGUAAUCCCAGAAAGCUCAUCGUAGUCCGGAGUUG
rnacentral:rRNA from 1 species